rnacentral:rRNA from 1 species
AAAAAUGUUAGAAACACCCUAACCUAUUUGAGCUAAACCUCUAGCCCACCCUCCCCAUCAAACCUUAAACCACAAUAAACAAACCAUUUGACACGACUAGUAAAGGAGAUUAAACAUCACACAAGGAGCAAAAGACAUAGUACCGUAAGGGAAACGUGAAAAACAAUGAAACACUCAAGCCGAACAAAGCAGGGAUUAAACCUCGUACCUAUUGCAUCAUGGUCUAGCAAGAACAACACAGACACAGCGUCCCAGCCUGUGACCCCGAAAUCAAGUGAGCUACCCUGGAGCAACCUUUUUAGGGUUAACCCUUCCCUGUAGCAAAAGGGUGGGAAGACUUCAAGGUAGUGGUGAAAAGCCUAUCGAACUUGUUGAUAGCUGGUUGCCUGAUAAAUGAACCUAAGUUCAGCCUUAAAUUUCUUUUAUCAUACCCAUAGUAGAACCUUAAUUUAAGACAUACUCAAUGGAGGUACAGCCCCAUUGAGCCGGGAUACAGCCCGAAGUAAAGAGCUAAUAUCACACCACAUACCAGUAGGCCUUAAAGCAGCCAUCAAAAAUUUGCGUCACAGCACACACCAAAAAAUUCCAUACAUUUUAAUAACCUCUUACAACCGUAUCAGCGCUAAUCUAUAAAAAUAUAGAAGAACUAAUGCUAGAACUAGUAACAAGAACCCAUCUCUACGCACAACUGUAAAUCAGCCACAGAAGACCUACUUGAAAAUUAACAGUCUAAUACUUAUUUAACAAACAUUAAAUGCUACUGUUAACCCGACUCAGGGGUGCUAAAAAGAAAGAUCAAUAGUUAAAGAAGGAACUCGGCAAAUCGAUAUCCCAACUGUUUACCAAAAACAUAGCCUUUAGCUUUACAAGUAUUAAAGGUGACGCCUGCCCAGUGAACCAGUUUUAACGGCCGCGGUAUCCUAACCGUGCAAAGGUAGCGUAAUCACUUGUCCUUUAAAUAAGGACCAGUAUGAACGGCUAAAUGAGGAUAAAACUGUCUCCUUUGACUAAUNCAGUGAAACUGAUCAACCAGUACAAAAGCUGGAAUACCCACAUAAGACGAGAAGACCCUGUGGAGCUUUAAAUUUAUACCAAGCAACUAAGACACAAACUAGCCAAUGGUCAAAAAUUUUAAGUUGGGGCAACUUCGGAACAAAACCAAACUUCCGAGCAUAAGACCAUGUCUUACCAAGACCUACAAGUCAAAGCUAAAAUUGACCCAGUACUACUGACACUCGAACCAAGUUACCCCAGGGAUAACAGCGCAAUCUUCUUCAAGAGUCCCUAUCGACAAGAAGGUUUACGACCUCGAUGUUGGAUCAGGACACCCAAAUGGUGCAGCCGCUAUUAAACAAUCCAGGUCGGUUUCUAUCUAUGCAGUUGUUUUCUUUAGUACGAAAGGACCAAGAAGACAGGACCAAUGUUAAUAACACGUCCUAAACAUAAUGGCUGAACACAAAUUAAGCCAUACAACACAACCAACCGCCCGGAGAUAACGGGCUUA